AACUAAAACAAAGACUCCCAAACCCUCAUCCUCUUGUUGAAAGCCUGCUUGGCCAUUCUCCCUUAACCUCUCAGUUUCAAUCUCCUACUUCCCAUUAUAAUUAAUACAAUUCUGUAGCAAAAUGUUUGAGCCAUACAACAGCUUGAUACCUACCUGGAAAUAUCAUUACAGGGGGAGCCUGGGGAAAGCCAUGGGUAUUGUCUGUGGUUUGUUUGGUUCAUUUUGGUUUUGGUUUUGUUGGUGGUGGUGUUAGAAAUUGAACCCAGGGCCACACACACUACAAAAGCACUGCUCACAGACCAUAGCCCCAGCCUGCUCCAUCACAGCCAUUUUUUUUGACAAAGGAUCUCAGGUAGCCCAGGUUAGCCUCAAACUUGCUGUGUAUCUGAAGCUGAUCUUGCAUACCUCAUCUCCCUAUCUCCACCUCCCAUGUUCUGGGAUCACGGGUAUGUGCCACCAUGACCAGGUUUCUGAGCUACUUAAGAAGUAUCAGGGCACCAUAAGUGAGCCUGCUUUAAGUCUAAGAAGGGCCCUUUGCUAGUACAGUUUUCAAGACUCCCUAGAGCAAGUGUGCAUGAUGUGAAAUGUGCUCCUUCAGAGGGCUUUGCGAUGGUUGACUCUGAAACAAGCCCUUGAGGGAAGGUUCAGAGCAUGCUCCAUAGAGACCCAGCAGUCUGCUCCCACCAGGUGACCUCCCUGGCCCCAUAGCCACGUCCCCCUCACUCCCUGAUAACAGUUUCCCAGGACUCCCAAUGCAUGGAAAUAAAGAUUUAGGUCAGCCUCUCCAGCUCAUCUACCAACAAGGGUAACAGCAACGCUUGAGGUCAAUUGCUGAUGAAUUAAUUUCCCUGGAAACCCAACAACUGGAUCUUGACCUGCUGUCCAUACCCCUCCAUCUUUGAACCAGCUCUAGUCUGGGCAACUUGUAGCUGCCACUACCCCUUCUACCUCCAUGCCUUCUCCAACAGUGCCUGACUUAGAGAGAACUUUCCACAUCUGUUCCUUCAUCGCUUCUUCAGUCCUAGCUAUUCUGGAGAUUUUCCUUUCAUCCCCUCAUAGGUAAUUCCCUAUACACCAUUUCUAUUGCUUAAUAAAUAAAUAUUUAUUAUUUGGAGUAGAGGCGGGUGUGUAAGUGGGCAAAUGUUCUGAUACUUGCAUGGAGGUCAAAGGAUAACUUCAUGGAGUUGAUUCCAUUCACCCUUGGUGAGUCCCAGGGUUCAAACUCACGUCACUAGUGGUUUGCAGAAAGCACCCUUUCCUAUUGAACCAUCUUGCCAGUCCCUCCUUUUCAAUUCUUUACAAUAGAUAUUCUGAUAAAUGACUCUGCAAAUCAUCUUCUUCCCGAAUGAACAAUGGUGGAUAGUGCUGUUUGUUUGGACUGACCUGGUUUGGCCACAAGUGCACAACUUAACCAAGAUUGACUACCAGAAAGACACGGAAAAUUUAUUGACUGAUCCUGGAUCCGUGUUGGAGACAUCCAGACUGUAUGCCUGGGGAUUGGGGGGUGGGAUGGGAGGUGCCAAAAGCAAACAGUGAGGAUUUGAUUUGGGGAAACCACUACCGGCACAUCUGGGGGAGACCUAACACGGUAGCACCAAAAUGGAAGAAGACAACGGGCUGACCACCCAUCAGAGCGAGGGACCCUGGACUGAGGAUGCCCGGCAGUGCUGAGGUGGAUAACAUGUAAUCUUGCUUUGAUAAAAGGAGGUAUCCCUUAUCUAAACAUGCUCACUUGUGGAGCAUUACUUCAUCUUCCAGCUCAGAAUCUCACCAGAAAAUCCCUCCUAUCAUUCUUCCACAUCUUCUCACAGUGUAGGAUUCCCCUAGAGUCCAGCUUCUUUCUUAUUUCCUGAAUGGCUGCCAGGAGCUGCCAGGCCAUCGGGCCUCCUUUCUUCCUUCUGGAAAGAAUCUGAGAGUACCUCUGACCUAAAUUUCUCUGCCGAAUCCCCCAAGCUCUUUUCUUCUCCUCAUCAAGACCAUGAACUAUCAGCUUCUUCCAAGGGCAACGACAACAUGGAUCCCUUUAGAUUCUUACAUCCCCAUUCCUAAAGGCCAGGAUAGUACAACAUGGGGUGCUGAAAGAGUAUAGGAUCCACGCUAAGAAGGCAACAAACCCUAUAAAAUGCACCCAACAAGGAAUAAUGAGCCCCCCUCAUUUCAUCCUAAAACCCUAGUAAUUCCCAUCUACUUUGUUGUGUUAACUAUGACACACACAACUUCUUCAUUGACCCAAGAUGUUCUUUGGAUGUUAAAAUACCCACACACACACUUUCACUUCUUAAUCCUACAGAAAGAAAUAGAAGUUUAUUACACAUUUGAACUUUUUAUUUGUCUGAUUGUUGGUUUUAUUUUUGAGACAAGGUCUCAUGUGGCUUAUGCUUUCCUAGAACCCACAUUGUAGCCAAGGAUGACCUUCUACUUCAGAUCCUCCUCCUUCUCCAUCCCAUGUGCUGGGAUCAUAAGUGUAUCCCUUGCAUUUGUUUCUAGAAGUAUCAGAUGCUUACCCAGGGUUUGAUGCAUACUAGGCCAUCGCUCUACCCACUGAGAUGAGUCACUCUCCAGAAUAAAUGAUUUUCAACAUUAUGCUUGCCUGAGUUUGAACUGAAUUCUGUAGCCAUUGAGACACUCUUGAAAUUUUUAGAUGGAACAGAAUUAUAAUUUAGAAUUUUCUAGAAUCUGAAAUGUUAUCAAAGGGGGAACCAUGUUUAUCCAAGCAAUUUAUUAUAAAAGGAUGGUCUUUCUGCACAUGGCCUCGGAGUAGAUCCAAGAAAACAAGAACAAAACAGGGCAAAAGGCUGUUCUAGAACAAAACCAGCACAGAUGAAGAGAGGGAUAUUCGACAUUUACAGCAAAGGGACAGGGUGCAUAAUGGUUUCACAGGGCACUCAAAGCAGAGGGAGAAGCCAGGCCACUCAGCGUUCUCAGGUCAUUUGGCCAAAAAGGAAAAAGAGCCCAGAACAGGUUGGGAAGGGAAAUAAAGAACCCACGCUACUUUAUAGAACUCAGCAAUUGUUUAUCGAGCAGUGUAGACAGGGAGCUGUUUAUUUGUAAACACAUCAGGCAUUUCCCCAGCUUUCUGCUCACCUUAGAAGUAAAUCAUUUGUUAAUGAAUAUUUUCUCUGUGCUUGUCACAGUACAAACAUGUGGUUUUAAUGCAACCAGUGCCCAGCAUAACUUUUUCUCAUUUAUAAUUGUCUUUGUGGCUUUCUCAUUUAAGUGUCUCUGUGGUCUACUAGACUUCCCAAGACAGCUGGCUAGCAGGAAACACAGGCACAGAGAUGGACAAGGGCCAGAUUCCCCAAGGCCUGUGACCAAGAAAAUGGAAGAUCUCACACUUCAUGGUUCCCUUCUCACCAGCAAUGAGCCUGUUCCCUUCAGCAUGAGCCUGCCUGUAUGUUCCAGUUUGCCAUAGUCUCUACAGCUCCCUAUUGUGUCCUAGGCAUAGCAGGUGGAAUACGUAUGCAUUGCCUAUGCUGUAGAAGAUUCUAGAGAAGCAGCUCUUAGCUACGUUGCCUCCCUGACUGUUGGGAGAUGUGGGAGUCAGUCAGCCUUUCUCUGGCACCCUAGAGAGGCCCCUGACAAAUGGGUAGAGCUGUGUCACUCAAAUCCUCCAGUGCAAGUACAGGCUGGGAUGCCGGAGAAGCACGGAUGGGAAGAGGUAGCCUGGUUUGUCUUGUUUUGAUGCUAAUCCGUAAAGACAAGCCACAACGUAACUGCAGCAAACGCUCACUGUUUCUUCCAUUAUAUCAAUAACUUUAUAAAUAUCGCCAUGAACGAGUGCUGCAGGUGGCAGCUAACCUUUGUUGUGAAUUCGAUUGACUAAUACAGGCCAGGGCAUUGUUGAGGUAUCCCCUUGCUGAGGGUGUGUAUGGGAAGGCAUAUCCAGGGAGAAGGGGAGGAAGAAAAAAGGACCUCUACUGGCUUGGGUUCUAAACUGAACAAACAGAGGAAACAAGGAAACCUGUUGUGCCCUGCCGCAUCCAUCUGCCUGCUUCUCAUCUGCCCAGAUGUGAAGGAGCAGCCGCACACUCGUUCCUGCCCUGACAACUGAGACCCGUUCCUGCCACUGUGCCUCCCCUGCCUUGAUA